AGUUUAUUUUGGAAUUGUCAUGGUACAGCUUUUAGAUGGAAGCAGAACAGACCAACUUCUAGAACUGACAUCUGAAAUAAAAGUGACAAAUGUGACAUGCCUGCAGCAUCUGGUCUGGGGACAGUGUCAGGUGGGGAGUCUGGCUGGGGCGGUACAGCCAACAAACCACAAGGCAGGUCUCCCAUGGCGAGCUCAGGCAGGACGGAAAUCUCUCAUGGAGGAAAAGGGCAAAAGUUUGCUUGAUCUUGACUUUCAGUACAAAUAUAGACUGUGAAAGCAGGGCCUCAUGAUCCUUCAGACUUUUUGGGUUUUGCCCAAAACCCCAAACACCCCUAACUCAUUUUAUGUUUAUGCGUGUAGAUUGUAAUUGUUACUUUUCAGAAAGAAGUUUAGAACCAUUAGAGCUUAAAAUGGCAAAUGUGAAG
rnacentral:ncRNA from 1 species